rnacentral:misc_RNA from 1 species
AAGGCACUAGAAGACUCACUUUGUAAGCGUGUCAUUGUAACUCCUGAUGGAAACAUCACAAAACUACUGGAUCCCGCAGCUGCAACCACGAGCAGGGAUGCCCUGGCAAAGACUGUAUACUCCAGAUUGUUCGACUGGCUUGUGGACAAGAUAAACAGUUCAAUUGGACAGGAUCCUGAAGCAAAAAGCAUAAUUGGCGUCCUUGAUAUAUAUGGCUUUGAGAGCUUCAAAAUCAAUAGUUUUGAGCAAUUCUGCAUCAACCUAACAAAUGAGAAG